rnacentral:lncRNA from 1 species
AGUUUUGUUUCCUUUCAUGUUCUUUGUUGUCAAAACAACCUUUGUUUCUUUCUUAUCAGCUAUAGUAUUUAAUUCACUGCGAUCUCAGGAUGUGUUAUUUGGAAGUGAUGUGGUUAUUCAUUCGAGGAUUGAUGUGUUAUUUGGAAGUGAGGUGGUUAUUCAUUCGAGGAUUGAGUUUCAUUCCCUUUGACUUGCAUUUUUUUG